rnacentral:rRNA from 1 species
CUACGGGCGGCACCAGUGAGGAAUAUUGCACAAUGGGGGGAACCCUGAUGCAGCAACGCCGCGUGGAGGAUGACGCAUUUCGGUGUGUAAACUCCUUUUAUAUGUCAAGAAAAUGACGGUAGCAUAUGAAUAAGCACCGGCUAACUCCGUGCCAGCAGCCGCGGUAAUACGGAGGGUGUAAGCGUUACUCGGAAUCACUGGGCGUAAAGGACGCGUAGGCGGGUUGGAAAGUCAGGUGUGAAAUCCUACAGCAUAACUGUAGAACUGCACUUGAAACUUCUAAUCUAGAGUAUGGGAGGGGGAGAUGGAAUUAGUGGUGUAGGGGUAAAAUCCGUAGAUAUCACUAGGAAUACCUAAAGCGAAGGCGAUCUCCUAGAACAUUACUGACGCUAAGGCGUGAAAGCGUGGGGAGCAAACAGGAUUAGAUACCCUGGUAGUC